UUCUUAAACACAUCCAGGUAUGCUUCCGAACAGUUUGUUGUGAGAAAGGUCUAAAACUUGCAAAGAAGUUAUAUAACAGAGUUCUUCAGGGAUGGAGGCAUAAAGAUUAUUUGACCAUAGCAUGAUAACCUUCAAAUUAGACAACCUUUCUCCAAGCCAUGAGGGAACAAUACCAGCUAAUUGAUUUUCAGCAAAGUCAAGGGUUUGUAACUGUGAUCAAUUUUCAAGUGACAAAGGUAUGCCACCAGAAAUGAUGUUCUUUUCAAGGCUCAAAGAUUGAAGGUAACUGUAGUUUCCUAGCGAAUUUGGAAUGUCACUGGUAAAAGUGUUGUUGCCUAAAUAUUGUCACUUACUCCACCAAUCAAGUAUUUCUAACAAAAGAUUGUUUCUAAGAUUGAGAACUUGCAAAAGCUUUGACUCGUCCAUCCUAUCACACAAAAAAUAGGAAAUGGGACCUGGCAGAGAGUUGUCCUAUCACAGUGAUUCAGUUUUUUUGGAGCAUCAACGAUGCUAAAGAAAACCAAGACGCUUCUCAUGUAUAGGGCUAUAAGCUCUUGUAAUGGACUUGUCUUGAUUCUGGGGACUGCUAGAUCCUAUUUCAAAGAAAGUUUUACAGUGGAUUCAAUUCAAGCUCUUGCCAUUUAUUUAUGGGCAUGAAAGAGUUAAUCUGUCAUAUUUUUUUUUAAGACAGGGCUAGGCAGAAACUAAAAUCUAAGUCUAAGGUGGUGAUAAUUUUUUUUAACAUGGAAAGGUAAAUAGCAAGGUUAUCCAGGCUGAUUUUCCAGCAACGUUGAAGCUAAUAUGCAAUGACAGCAACAAACAAGCAUGUUUUUCAAACUAAAGGCAACAUUCUUAGGCUGUUGCAUCCAGAGAAGGAAGCAUUCACUGCAGAUGUUGUAAUGACAGUAAGAAACUAAGAAAGCAUCUUAAUGCAGAAAUUCUGAUUUGUUGAUGAAUCGUUUUUUCACAAACCACUGUCAUCGAAGUGCCACUGUGACUAAGAAAUCCAAAAUUUUCAGCUGAAUUCUUCGAUUCCAUAGACAAUCUAGACACUUUCUCUGGAUCACACACUCCAAUCCCAAACAACGACAUCCUCUUUGCAAGCUCGACCGGAUACAAAUCCUCUACCCUCUUAUCAACCCACUUCCUGAAUUCACCCAGACCAAUAGCCACCACCACCCUUUCCCUCCCAAUCACCCUAAUUCUCUUACAAUCUCAGCCUUAAUCAUAAAACACAUAUCUCAACGCCUCUUCCCCAGCUGUCCACUUUUGUUAACCCUAUCCAGCAAAAGGAUGCCUAUAUAGCCAUGAGACUGGUGGAAAAGCUUCAUAGAAUUCACAAUGACGCGUCUAGCCAGAGAAAAAAGCAAUUUGUAUACUAUUGUGUGCAAACCGUGGCCAUGCCAACCUAAUGCCUGUUUAUUUGCUUGAGUGAUCCCAAAACAAUAAAAAUUCUUCACUUCACUUUGACCAAGCAAUCAUGUAUAUUUUAUAUUUUUAUACAAACCUUGAAGUAGAGAUCACGCUCACCACCAAUCUCCAAAGAAAGUCUCAACAAGAAACACAGAUUCUCCAAGCAUGUUUGUGUCCACAACCAGCACCACCAACGAAGAAAAAGGGUAACAGGCUUUCUCCUAAUCCCUCUGCAAAGUUCACCCCAAGGCCAUCUAGAUCCUUAGAAAUAUGAAACUCUUUUAUUGAGCACUGUACUGAUUUUAGUUAGCAAUGUAAAUAGAAGAGCUGCAAGCCAGUGUGUGUUGCAAACAGUAUCAGUUUCGCAAUGCAAGGGGAAAUAUGUUUUUGUUUAUUGAAUAUGUUGCUUGAAUGUUUUUUUAUUCAAUUUGAACAGAAUGGUACUUCAGGAAUAGUCUUCCAGACCAGCUUAGACCUUGCAAGGAUGAGAUCCCCGAAGUUCAGGAGGAUUAUCUCUGACUCAGGCCUCUCAUGAUGGCACACUUCAUUAAUGUUCCACAGGAAAUUGGUAUAUUUGCAGAAGAUGGUGGCCUGGUGGGUCGGUAUUCAAGCCUCUUAUUCGAGGGGCUGUUCCUGGUUUAAAAGUUUGGUGAUAGGGUAUCCUAAGGCGUUGGACAGAGAAUGUGUAAUGGUCAAUGGUGCUGCUGUUUCUGCUCUAGGCAAAACAAUGCAGUUCCAUCGUGAAAGACUCAAUGUGGCAAAGGUAUGUUUACUUGUUUCUUCUUUGAGAUUAUUGGCAAAAGAAGCCUUUGUGCUUUACCAAAUGCAUUUACAUUUCUUAGUGAAUUUCUUCGUAGACUUUCCUUUUUGGACUGAUCUUGUGAGUUCUAGCUCAGUUGAAAGUAAAAAGAGAUGUUUUGCA